AUUGAACGCUGGCGGCAGGCCUAACACAUGCAAGUCGAACGAGUGGCGGACGGGUGAGUAAUGUAUGUGCAACUGCCUGAUGGAGGGGGAUAACUACUGGAAACUGUAGCUACUACCGCAUACCAUCAGAUGUGCCCAGAUGGGAUUAGCUUGUGGGUGGGGUAAAGGCGCACCAAGGCGACGAUCCCUAGCUGGUCUGAGAGGAUGACCAGUCACACUGGAACUGAGACACGGUCCAGACUCCUACGGGAGGCAGCAGUGGGGAAUAUUGGACAAUGGGCGCAAGCCUGAUACAGCCAUGCCGCGUGUAUGAAGAAGGUCUUCGGGUUGUAAAGUACUUUCAGCGGGGAGGCGUUACCCGCAGAAGAAGCACCGGCUAACUCCGUGCCAGCAGCCGCGGUAAUUC
rnacentral:rRNA from 1 species